AAUAUACAAGGUGCUGCAUGGUUGUCGUCAGCUCGUGCCGUGAGGUGUCGGUUAAGUCCCAUAACGAGCGCAACCCCUAUCAUUAGUUGCCAUCAGGUCAAGCUGGGGACUCUAAUGAAACUGCCUACGCAAGUAGUGAGGAAGGUGGGGAUGACGUCAAAUCAGCACGGCCCUUACGUCCAGGGCUACACACGUGCUACAAUGGCCGGUACAAAGGGCAGCUACCUGGUGACAGGAUGCUAAUCUCAAAAAGCCGGUCUCAGUUCGGAUCGGAGUCUGCAACCCGACUCCGUGAAGUUGGAUUCGCUAGUAAUCGCGCAUCAGCCAUGGCGCGGUGAAUACGUUCCCGGGCCUU
rnacentral:rRNA from 1 species